UACGAAGGGGGCUAGCGUUGCUCGGAAUCACUGGGCGUAAAGCGCACGUAGGCGGAUCUUUAAGUCAGGGGUGAAAUCCUGGAGCUCAACUCCAGAACUGCCUUUGAUACUGCAAAUCUCGAGUCCGGAAGAGGUGAGUGGAAUUCCUAGUGUAGAGGUGAAAUUCGUAGAUAUUAGGAAGAACACCAGUGGCGAAGGCGGCUCACUGGUCCGGUACUGACGCUGAGGUGCGAAAGCGUGGGGAGCAAACAGG
rnacentral:rRNA from 1 species